rnacentral:miRNA from 12 species
AUCCUAAUUGAGGGCAUUUGUU